GAUGAACGCUGGCUACAGGCUUAACACAUGCAAGUCGAGGGGAAACGACGGGGAAGCUUGCUUCCCCGGGCGUCGACCGGCGCACGGGUGAGUAACGCGUAUCCAACCUGCCUCUGACUGAGGGAUAACCCGUCGAAAGUCGGCCUAAUACCUCAUGGCAUCGUCUGCGGGCAUCCAACGACGAUUAAAGAUUUCAUCGGUCAGAGAUGGGGAUGCGUCUGAUUAGCUUGUUGGCGGGGUAACGGCCCACCAAGGCGACGAUCAGUAGGGGUUCUGAGAGGAAGGUCCCCCACAUUGGAACUGAGACACGGUCCAAACUCCUACGGGAGGCAGCAGUGAGGAAUAUUGGUCAAUGGGCGAGAGCCUGAACCAGCCAAGUAGCGUGCAGGAUGACGGCCCUAUGGGUUGUAAACUGCUUUUAUGCGGGGAGAAAGUGAGGGACGUGUCCUUCAUUGCAGGUACCGCAUGAAUAAGGACCGGCUAAUUCCGUG
rnacentral:rRNA from 1 species